rnacentral:rRNA from 1 species
UACGUAGGGGGCUAGCGUUGUCCGGAUUUAUUGGGCGUAAAGAGCGUGUAGGCGGCCAGGUAGGUCUGGUGUGAAAACUCGAGGCUUAACCUCGAGAUGUCAUCGGAAACCAUUUGGCUAGAGUCCGGAAGAGGAGAGUGGAAUUCCUGGUGUAGCGGUGAAAUGCGCAGAUAUCAGGAAGAACACCAAUGGCGAAAGCAGCUCUCUGGGACGGUACUGACGCUGAGACGCGAAAAGCGUGGGGAGCGAACAGG